AUUAGAUAAUAUUAGUUAAGAAAGAUCAGGUCUUGCCUUCAUACACAAGGAACCAGGUCAUCCCAUGAAAUGACAGAUAUAAGAAAAUAAAUCUCAAUAUUUCUAUAACUGUGCUCUGAAACACAUUUACUUUUGGAUACCCAAAAUUAGACAUCACCAAGGGACUGAUUUUUUUAGAAGUCGUUGAUCAUAUUCCAGCACUGAAAACAUAAAAGUCCCUGAAAAUUCAGGCAUGAUGAGUGUGUACAACUCUAUAUUUAGGUAUCUGAAUAUGAAAUCCCUGGCCGUGAUCUCCAAACUAACUUAUAAAAGCAUGCAGAGCUGCUGUGGCUCAGCUCAUCCUUGCUUUACUCACAACCUUUUGUGCUCUAUAGGUAUAUUUUUGAUGGCUGAAUGAAGACAGACCUGUUUUAUGGGAAUUUGGGGAAUGCAAUGGCAUUUUUCGCAUACUUUUAUUAUUAUUAACUUUAUUUAAAGCUGAAUAGAGCUCUGGAGCUUUUGGCCUCUACAACUACAAUAAAAUGCUUACGCACUAAAAUAGUUUUACUCCUUGCUCAUGACUUUGGGCUUUCAGCAUUGCGUUUGGAGAGGAGCUAUUUAUGGACUACCAAAUAAGGUGCUGGAGAAAGGAAUUUAAAGCAUGUCCUUGAGCUGUUCAGGGAAGCUUUGCAGAGUGGGAACAAAAACUUGUGUCCACACUAGGAUCUACCAAGGCUGCCAAGGAAGGAUGCCUGGUUUGCAACUGCCUCCAUGCUACAAUGGAUUCAUCCCCCAGAUCAGACAAGGGUGGAAGGAAGGCUCACUGCUUUUUCCCCAAGAGUGCCCGAGCUGCUCUGCGCUUCACUCGCUGACCAGAGACCAACAGACUGGUCACUUUGUCUUCAGAGCUGUCAAGUGCUUGCCUGGCGCCGUCUCGUCAAUGAUUCAAUCAUGUCAAGAUGAAGAAGGACGUGGUUUCAAAACCUUGAAUGCCCUUCGUUCUCAGGCUGCUCUGCCAUGCAGCAUGGGCUCUUCAGUCGUCUCCUGGAUGAAAUGAUCUCAUUAGGUGAUUUCAAAGAGCUUGAUGGAGAGUGGCCACCUGCUUUCUCAGAAAGAGUGUCUCAUCAGCUUUCCUGGAACUGACAAAGCACAUGCGAGAGUGGUGUCUGAUCACUGAAAACCUUACUUUAAAGAUGUAGUGCCAAGAUUUUUUUGUCAAAGCAAGAGUGAAACAGAGCAGCCCUCUGUCUCCUGCUCCUUCUCUCAUCUUCCACUUAUCUCCUCUAUUCCCAAGUUUUUUUUUGUCUCCAACAUACUUCCACACUGAUGAGAUUUAUCCAUUACCAUUAUUUACUGCAGUAUAUGUAAGCGCAUGUGAAUGAUUGAUAGCAGCUUUUCAGUAUCUACAGGGAGGAUAUAGGAAAGAAGAGGACUGACUCUUUCACAGGGUCUGUUUUGAUAGGACAAGGGGAAAUGGUUUCAAACUAAAAGAAGGAAGAUUUGGGUUGGAUAUAAGGGAGAAAUAUUUUACAAUAAAGGUGGUGAGGCGCUGGAAUAGGUUGCUCA
rnacentral:lncRNA from 1 species